rnacentral:tRNA from 1 species
CAAGAUAAAGCUUAACAUAAGCAUUUCACUUACACUGAAAAGAGGCCGUUGAACUCGGCGUAUUUUGA